rnacentral:rRNA from 1 species
UACAGAGGGGGCAAGCGUUAUUCGGAAUUAUUGGGCGUAAAGGGCGCGUAGGCGGCAUGGCAAGUGGAAGGUGAAAUCCCUCGGCUCAACUGAAGAACUGCCUACCAAACUGCUUUGCUUGAGUCCGGGAGAGGUAAGUGGAAUUCCCAGUGUAGCGGUGAAAUGCGUAGAUAUUGGGAGGAACACCAGUGGCGAAGGCGGCUUACUGGACCGGAACUGACGCUGAGGCGCGAAAGCGUGGGGAGCAAACGGG